UACCAGCACCCCGAGUGGUCGGGACGUUUAUUGGGCCUUAAAGGUACAGUCCGUAGCCGGUUCGUACAAGUCUUCCGUUAAAUCCAAGCGUGCUUAACAGAUGGGCUGGCGGAAGAUACUAUGGAGCUAGGAGGCGGGAGAGGCAAGCGGUAACUCGAUGGGUAGGGGUAAAAUCCGUUGAUCCAUUGAAGACCACCAGUGGCGAAGCGGCUUGCCAGAACGCGCUCGACGGUGAGGGAUGAAAGCUGGGGGAAGCA
rnacentral:rRNA from 1 species